UUAGUGACAUCACUUCCUGUCACCAAAGAACAAUGCUUGAAACAGUGCGAUCUGUGAUCGUGAAAUAUUUUCAAUUUUGAUUUGGACAGCAAAACCUGUGGCAGUUGUGACAACUGGAAAUUUGGAUUAUGAAAGGAUUCGUAAUAUUCAAGCGACGGAUCUGUAUGGAGAUGCUCAACGUGCAACAAAACUACAGCAACAUCGGAUUUCAUCUGAGCAAGAGAGGAACGUCCAUUCUAACUGGCAACAUUAAACGCGCUAUUCAUCGCAUCUUCAUUAUUCCUACAGUAUCGCGCAGCAAGAGCAGAUCUAGAGAUCGAUAUGGAAGACACAGUCGCAACAAGGAUCGUGGACGCGGACAAGUUUAUAAUUACCGUUCAUAAAGUGGUGGAUAAUACCAUGGUUUAUGCUAGUCAUGGUUGUCAGUACAUUCAUUAUUAAGUCACACAACAAGAAACAUUAUGUUUAGUUUUAAGUGAUUGGAUAUACAAUGUGUUACCCCUACUGCAGAUAUUAGCAGUGUUAGUGUGUUACUCUUUCAUUGAUAUUCAUUAAUAUUGCAUUGAGUCAUUUUUCCUUGAUCUUUUUGUGC